CAUUUUCACCAUCUUCCCCAUGGUUUUAGUGGUCAUUUUUCAUUUCUUCUCUUGUAAAUAAUCAGUUCAUGUUUUCUAGCACCAAUUCUAAGCCUAGAUUAGUAAUAAGAAAAGUUCCCUCUUUUUAAAAGAAGAUGUCUACUUUCUCUGCCCUCCUUAUUGCCCAGAAAACAGGCAUUGUGGAGACGUGGCCUUGAUUGUCCUUCUUCUUGUCUCUUCCACCAAUGUGGCUGACCUUUUUCUCCUCACUCUCCAUUAAUUAGCAGCAGUUUCCCUGUUCCUUGGCUCACAGUGGUACACCUGGGAGCCUUAGCACUCACUGAAAACCCCUUACUGCCUAACAAGAAUUGACCCAUGGUUGAAAACCCAUCUCAAGUGCUGCUGCCUCUAUGAAGCCCACCCUGAAUUACGUUCAACUGGACAUACUUCCUUAUUUAAACCCUUUGGCACUGAUAUUCUAUCUUUAAUCAUUAUUAUUAUUUUAGAACAUGUCACCUUCCCAUGUUUUCCAAGUCAUAAAAGUAGUACAUGUCCAUCACAGACAAAUGGGGAGUGCAGAAAAGCACAAAGAAUAAAACAGAGACAGCAGGGUUCAGGCUUCGAGUUGUGGUGCAAUUGGCCCACAUCCACCCCACCCUCUCUUCACGCAGCAGAUGACUGGGACAUAAAGAAGCUGAUGGGGCCACUGCCACCGAAUUUCCACCUGCAGCCCUUCUCGGGGGCCACCACCAUGCUCCUCAACAGCUGUCACUGACAGGACAGAGCUUGAGGAUCUUGAGGAGCUACUGACCCUGCAGAACCGCUCUGAGACCAGGGGGAGCUUUUCCAGGUGAAACGAUUCAUGGCUAGGCUGAUUUAACUAAUGGGUUUUUCAUCAGAGUAAUACAUAUUCAGAUAUGUCCCAUGCUCAGUGAUGGCAUCAAGCAAUGUCAGGAUUAGAUGGGAAAUUAGAGGCAAUUUGCUCCAAGUGUCUACUUGUGUACCCUCCACAGACGUAUCCAUGCAAUGGUCUUCUGUCUUCUAGGAAGCUCCCAAGUUCAUUUUUUAUUCAAAGCGAACCAGGAGAGUUCUGUCUACACUCAUUUCUAUGCAUAGAACUUGACGCUUUAAAAAGACAAUGCUGAAUUCUAGUUUCCCUGCCCCUACACCAGCCCAAUCCUCUGUUCUUAUUCCCAUCUGACGGUGUCACCCAGGGCACUAACCCAGUAGUACCAGGCACCGAAUAGGCAUCCAGUAGGUGUUGAAUGUCGUAUGUAGCGGACAAGGGCCACUUUGGAAAGUCAUGUUUCAUCGCUUCACUCCUCCCUGUGAGUCUGGGUGCUCUGAAGCCCCUCUCUCGAUCCCCCCAUGAGACACACAGAAUUUAGACCCUGUCAUCAAUGUUAAAGGUCAGCUAACAUGGUUUCCAAACCAAGCAUGUGUCACCAUGUAUCACUUGGGCUUGAACCCAGGUUGGCUGAAUUAUCCAUGCAUCUAGGCAACCACCUAUACAUCCAUUCAUGCAGCUCAUGGAAAUGUUUGGAGUGCAAGCACAGUUCCAGGUGUUGUGGCAGAUACAAAGAAUAUGAUAGAGGGCCUGGUCCUGGUGGAUCCAGGAUGUUGUGGGGGAGACUGUUCUAAUGAGCCAUCUCUGUGUUGAGUUAUGUGAUAAGAGCUGUGAUAGAGAUUCUGCAAAGAAUCCGGGCCUGGGCAUUCAGGCCUGGGAUCUGCACAAGUGGGUCCUCGUGCUGCCCUUAUUUAAGGCUCAAAAGGUACCACUCUCCCAGACAUCAAUACCACUUCACUGUCAAAUUUCCCUUCCCACAAUCCUGUCCUGUGGUGGUGUGCUGGAGAGGGAGCAUUACCUCCAGUGUCCCUUAACCAUACCUAAGAAUAUAACUACACAGGCAGAUCACGAGGUCAGGAGAUCGAGACCAUCCUGGCUAACAUGGUGAAACCCCAUCUGUACUAAAAAUACAAAAAAUUAGCCGGGCGUGGUGGCGGGUGCCUGUAGUUCCAGCUACUCAGGAGGCUGAGGCAGGAGAAUCACUUGAACCCAGG
rnacentral:lncRNA from 10 species